rnacentral:rRNA from 1 species
AUUGAACGCUGGCGGAAUGCUUAACACAUGCAAGUCGAACGGCAGCACGGACUUCGGUCUGGUGGCGAGUGGCGAACGGGUGAGUAAUGUAUCGGAACGUGCCCAGUCGUGGGGGAGAACGUAGGGAAAAUUACGCUAAUACCGCAUACGAUCUAUGGAUGAAAGCGGGGGACCGUAAGGCCUCGCGCGAUUGGAGCGGCCGAUGACGGAUUAGGUAGUGGGUGGGGUAAAGGCCCACCAAGCCGACGAUCUGUAGCUGGUCUGAGAGGACGACCAGCCACACUGGAACUGAGACACGGUCCAGACUCCUACGGGAGGCAGCAGUGGGGAAUUUUGGACAAUGGGCGCAAGCCUGAUCCAGCCAUUCCGCGUGCAGGAUGAAGGCCCUCGGGUUGUAAACUGCUUUUGUACGGAACGAAAAGGCUCUGGUUAAUACCUGGGGCUCAUGACGGUACCGUAAGAAUAAGCACCGGCUAACUACGUGCCAGCAGCCGCCGUAA